rnacentral:rRNA from 1 species
AUUGAACGCUGGCGGCAGGCCUAACACAUGCAAGUCGAGCGGAUGAGGGAAGCUUGCUUCCCGAUUUAGCGGCGGACGGGUGAGUAAUGCCUAGGAAUCUGCCUAUUAGUGGGGGAUAACGUUCCGAAAGGAACGCUAAUACCGCAUACGUCCUACGGGAGAAAGUGGGGGAUCUUCGGACCUCACGCUAAUAGAUGAGCCUAGGUCGGAUUAGCUAGUUGGUGAGGUAACGGCUCACCAAGGCGACGAUCCGUAGCUGGUCUGAGCGGAUGAUCAGCCAAACUGGAACCAGGAAACGGUCCAGACUCCUACGGGAGGCAGCAGUGGGGAAUAUUGGACAAUGGGCGAAAGCCUGGUCCAGCCAUGCCGCGUGUGUGAAGAAGGUCUUCGGAUUGUAAAGCACUUUAAGUUGGGAGGAAGAGUUGUAAGCUAAUAUCUUGCAGCUUUGACGUUACCAACAGAAUAAGCACCGGCUAACUCUGUGCCAGCCGCCGCCGUAAAAC